rnacentral:rRNA from 1 species
UACAGAGGGGGCAAGCGUUGUUCGGAAUUACUGGGCGUAAAGGGCGCGUAGGCGGCCGCCUAAGUCAGACGUGAAAUCCCUCGGCUCAACCGGGGAACUGCGUCUGAUACUGGGUGGCUUGAAUUCGGGAGAGGGAUGCGGAAUUCCAGGUGUAGCGGUGAAAUGCGUAGAUAUCUGGAGGAACACCGGUGGCGAAGGCGGCAUCCUGGACCGAGAUUGACGCUGAGGCGCGACAGCAUGGGGAGCAAACAGG